rnacentral:rRNA from 1 species
UACGUAGGUGGCGAGCGUUAUCCGGAAUGAUUGGGCGUAAAGGGUGCGUAGGCGGCCUGCUAAGUCUGGAGUGAAAGGUACCGGCUCAACCGGUACAGGCUCUGGAAACUGGCGGGCUAGAGAGCAGGAGAGGGCGGUGGAACUCUAUGUGUAGCGGUGAAAUGCGUAGAUAUAUGGAGGAACACCGGUGGCGAAAGCGGCUCUCUGGCCUGUAACUGACACUGAGGCUCGAAAGCGUGGGGAGCAAACAGG